GCAAUGCUGGUUCAGAGGUAGAAUUCUCGCCUUUAAAUUUGGGAGGCCCAGGUUUAUUCCUGGCCAUUGCA
rnacentral:tRNA from 1 species